GGCAUUUUUAGUUAGUUCACACUUCACAUCGUUAUUCUUGACUGUGUAUAUAUCUUAAUAGUUCACACUUCACAUUGUUAUUUUCACUCUAUUAUUCAGUGUUUGUUACCCACUUCACAUGCUUAUGUAGCUAACACUUCCCUGAUGAUUAUAUAUGUCAUGUUGCUGUUUGGAUUUAAUUUCUUGCUAGGAAAUAUGGUGGAAUCAAGAUUGAAGAAAUAGAUGGUAUCCAAACCAAUGACACAGAUUUGGAAGAUGACCAGCUGUUGAUAUAAUUUGAAGAAGAUUUUGAUGACAAUGAUUCAACUAAUGAAGAUGUUCCAAAUGAUCAUAUUGAACCUGAUUAUGAUUAAAUUUGUUUAUUGUUUUUUUUUCUUCUUUCUUUUGGUUGAAAAGGUGAUUAUUGUUUUUUGUGAAAGUCAUUAUUCACACUGUUAUAUCAUUGUUACUUCUUUGUAUUUAAACAUAUGUGAUUAAUCUCUAUGUCUUUAUCAUUACUUUAGAUGUCAGGUAUUGGUAAACCAAGAGGACUGCAUAAACGAUUUGUGGAUAAAGGGAAUGGAAAGAAAGUUCCAACCAUUUCUACUAGUUUGGAGCAAAGGAACACUGCUAUGCACACAACUUCAGUGUCACACUAGGAAGGGAAGACAACUUUGUUGAUAAGAGAUCAAGUGAUGCAUAUGUGAGUAUCUAUUACAAAAAAGCCUAAACUUGUAGAAAAAAGCCUUGACUUUGGUUGCUGUGAUUGUGGCCUUUUAUUUUGCGGUGAUUGUGUCCUUAAUGAUAAGAGAUCAAGUUAUCUGAUAUACUGUUGUGAUUGUGGCCUUUUAUUUGCUGUAAUUUAUGACCUGCACAUGUAUGUAUAGAGUUUGCUUUGACAGUUUGUCCUUUUUGUCAUGUGUUUCUGUUCUUGCUAUUUUUUUAGUUUGUUGUCCAGUUGUUUUAGUAAACUUGUUNNNNNNNNNNNNNNNNNNNNNNNNGAGUGUCGAUUUGUGAAUAAAACUUGUUCCCAUGUUUCUGUUUCGAAGUUUUUGCUGGAUUAGCAUUUAUCCAAGGGCUGCUACUUUAUGGUGGAGUUGUUUUGUUGGUUUUUUAGUGUGUAUGUAGGAAGAAUUUUUAGUGGGAGUUGUUCUGUUUGUAGAGUUUGUUAUGUGUAUCUAACUUCAUUACAUGUUAUAUUUAUGUUUAUUUUUUCCUAGGAUAACAUUGUAAAUCUAUGUUCACAAGUUGAGACUAGUGGCACUCAACCCAAGCCAAUUGGUAUGGAUGGAAGCAUGCUCACCCAUGGCUCAACAUCUCAAUCAAAUAAAUAUUCAAAUUAUGUUGAUAUUGUUCAUGGCAUGAGUGGAGAGGUUGAUGCGGGACUACGACAACAAUUGAUAUUUGGAUUUAAUGGAUUUGGAUGAAGAUGAUCCUUCUGUUGGUAUUGUUAGUCGUGGAAGCAAUGCCAUUGAUGGUUCAAAUGCUAAUGAGUAGUAAUAUUGAUGACUUUGGAUUAGAACUUAAAAAUUAUUGAAAGUUUGAUAUUUUGUAGGCACAUUCAAGUUAUUUGAACUUUAACCUUUUGAAUGUAAUGAUAAAAGUUUGAUAUUUGGAGAUACUUGUGUUUAUGAUAAUUAAUGAUUACAAAUUGAAUUUGUAGUUCGAUAUGAUACUUUAAAUUGAUGAUGCAACACUAUUUAAUGUGCAUUGUGUAU
rnacentral:lncRNA from 1 species